rnacentral:rRNA from 2 species
AAGUCGAACGAAGUAGCAAUACUUAGUGGCAGACGGGUGAGUAACAUGUAGGUAUCUGCCCUUUGGCCUGGAAUAACACGAGGAAACUUGUGCUAAUACCGGAUAAGUCUUUACGGAGAAAGCUUUAUGCACCAUUGGAUGAGCCUGCACUUGAUUAGUUUGUUGGUGGGGUAAUGGCCUACCAAGACUGUGAUCAAUAGCUGAUUUGAGAGGAUGAUCAGCCACAUUGGGACUGAGACACGGCCCAAACUCCUACGGGAGGCAGCAGUGGGGAAUCUUGCACAAUGGAGGAAACUCUGAUGCAGCGAUGCCGCGUGAGUGAAGAAGGCCCUUGGGUUGUAAAGCUCUUUCGUCGGGGAAGAAAAUGACUGUACCCGAAUAAGAAGGUCCGGCUAACUUCGUGCCAGCAGCCGCGGUAAUACGAAGGGACCUAGCGUAGUUCGGAAUUACUGGGCUUAAAGAGUUCGUAGGUGGUUGAAAAAGUUAGUGGUGAAAUCCCAGAGCUUAACUCUGGAACUGCCAUUAAAACUUUUCAGCUAGAGUAUGAUAGAGGAAAGCAGAAUUUCUAGUGUAGAGGUGAAAUUCGUAGAUAUUAGAAAGAAUACCAAAUGCGAAGGCAGCUUUCUGGAUCAUUACUGACACUGAGGAACGAAAGCAUGGGUAGCGAAGAGGAUUAGAUACCCUCGUAGUCCAUGCCGUAAACGAUGUGUGUUAGACGUUGGAAAUUUAUUUUCAGUGUCGCAGCGAAAGCGAUAAACACACCGCCUGGGGAGUACGACCGCAAGGUUAAAACUCAAAUGAAUUGACGGGGACCCGCACAAGUAGUGGAGCAUGUGGUUUAAUUCGAAGAUACGCGCAGAACCUUACCAACACUUGACAUGUUCGUCGCGACUCUAAGAGAUUAGAGUUUUCGGUUCGGCCGGACGAAACACAGGUGCUGCAUGGCUGUCGUCAGCUCGUGUCGUGAGAUGUUGGGUUAAGUCCCGCAACGAGCGCAACCCUCACUUUUAGUUGCCAUCAUUAAGUUGGGCACUCUGAAAGAACUGCCAGUGAUAAGCUGGAGGAAGGUGGGGAUGACGUCAAGUCCUCAUGGCCCUUACGUGUUGGGCUACACACGUGCUACAAUGACACUUACAGUGGGAAGCUAAGACGCGAGUCCAAGCUAAUCCCUAAAAUGUGUCUCAGUUCGGAUUGCACUCUGUAACUCGAGUGCAUGAAGCUGGAAUUACUAGUAAUCGCGGAUCAGCGCGCCGCGGUGAAUACGUUCCCGGGUCUUGUACACACCGCCCGUCACACCAUGGAAGUUGGUUACACCUUAAGGCAAAUCGUCAACCUUCGGGAG